AUUGAACGCUGGCGGCAUGCCUUACACAUGCAAGUCGAACGGUAGAGGGGGCAACCCCUCGAGAGUGGCGAACGGGUGAGUAAAGCAUCGGAACGUGCCCAGUAGUGGGGGAUAGCCCGGCGAAAGCCGGAUUAAUACCGCAUGAGACCUACGGGUGAAAGGGGGGGAUCGCAAGACCUCUCGCUAUUGGAGCGGCCGGUGUCAGAUUAGGUGGUUGGUGGGGUAAAGGCCUACCAAGCCGACGAUCUGUAGCUGGUCUGAGAGGACGACCAGCCACACUGGGACUGAGACACGGCCCAGACUCCUACGGGAGGCAGCAGUGGGGAAUGUUGGACAAUGGGCGCAAGCCUGAUCCAGCCAUGCCGCGUGCGGGAAGAAGGCCUUCGGGUUGUAAACCGCUUUUGUCAGGGAAGAAAUCCUUUGAGCUAAUACCUCGGGGGGAUGACGGUACCUGAAGAAUAAGCACCGGCUAACUACGUGCCAGCCGCCGCGGUAAGAC
rnacentral:rRNA from 1 species